rnacentral:lncRNA from 1 species
GGUGGCGCAGGAGAAGAGAAUGGAGAAGAUGACGAGGAAGAAGAUGGUGAUGACCAUAAUGAGGAUGAUGACAAUGAUGACGAUGAUGACAACAACAAUGAAGAAGACAAUGAGGAUGAAGGUGGAGACGAGGAAGAGGAAGAAAUUCUAGAGGAAGAGAAGCCAGAGGAGGAUGAAGAGGAUGAAGAAGAAGAAGCCCUCCAGCCUCCAAAGAAGAGGAAGAAGUGAAAAAUGGAAAAGUAGGAAAUGCCUGUUUAAUUGCUUUUAACUACGAUGAGACGCAGCUCUUUAACCGUAUCUUAUUUAGCUUAUUGGGCAUAACUGCUUGCGUAUGCAUGUUUUAACUCGGAAACAUCAGUUAUUAGCCAACUGAGCUAAUGAAUUCUCACUUUGGCCACUUCAAUUCUCAGUAUUACCCAAAUCUGGUAACGGUAAUUCUAUUACCGAUGAAUUACUCUGAGCAGCUGUGCGCGGAUCAUCUUACAAUAUUUUAUCUCAUGCGGCUAUUAUACACAUCAAACCUACGUAUUGAUAUCACAGCAGUCUCAUUGAACGUAGUAAGUAAUAACAUGGGAUAUAGGCCAUCCCUAGUGGAUCCAAAUUAGCAUGAACCCUGAGUAUCACACCACCCUUUAUAUAGGGAAGUAAUAAAAUAAAAAAAAGAAGCAAACAAACAAUAACAAAAACACGCCAGAGGUGAGAGAAGGAGAGGAUGCAUAAAAGGAAAUGAAAGAGAAAGCCUCAAAGCGGAACCGUUAAUAGGAAUAAAUUAAUUUAGAAUCAGAUCAUUUUGUUGAGAAGGUAGAAGCAAAAUCUAAAGUACGCCCAUCCAUUUCAAGUAUUGGAGAAACAUGUAUGGCUUACUCCUUCAACGAAAUACCUUGCUUUAAGGAGCACCCAUAAAACUCAGUGUACAUGAAAUAGAAUGAAUUCAGAUGGUAUUUUGUAAAUACACCUAUUUGUAAUGUAUUAACAACCCUUUCUCCGUAUUAAUAAAUUUAAAAAAAAAAAAAAAAAAGAUAACGAAAACAAAAUCCUUCUUUAUCUAAUCCCCAACCAAUCUACAAAAUCAGCCAUGAACAUGAAAUUCCUUUUACCAACACCUCCAAACCAACAACAUUCUUAUUCUGAAGUAACCUGAACACCCCAAUUGGGUUCCAAGGGCAGGUGAUAAACGAUGUAACAGUUGCUCAGUCUACACUAUCCACUAUUAGAUCAAAAUACCCUAAUUGAUGAAUUACUCAUU